rnacentral:rRNA from 1 species
UACGUAGGGUGCGAGCGUUACUCGGAAUUACUGGGCGUAAAGCGUGCGCAGGCGGUUUUGUAAGCCAGAUGUGAAAGCCCCGGGCUUAACCUGGGAAUGGCAUUUGGGACUGCAAGGCUAGAGUGCGGCAGAGGAGACUGGAAUUCCUGGUGUAGCAGUGAAAUGCGUAGAUAUCAGGAGGAAUACCGAUGGCGAAGGCAGGUCUCUGGGCUGACACUGACGCUCAUGCACGAAAGCGUGGGGAGCAAACAGG